ensembl:snoRNA
CUGGCGCUGAAUCAAGGCCGGCAGCUUCCUGACGCUGUUGGUUGCAAGCAGGAGCCUAAAGAGAUGUCUUUCUAUGGUCUGUGGCCAUUUCAGAACUUGGGCAGUGAAAUGGUCAAUUCAUUAGAAAGAAACAGCU